UACGGAGGAUGCAAGCGUUAUCCGGAAUGAUUGGGCGUAAAGCGUCCGCAGGUGGCAAUGUAAGUCUGCUGUUAAAGAGUCUAGCUCAACUAGAUAAAAGCAGUGGAAACUACAUAGCUAGAGUACGUUCGGGGCAGAGGGAAUUCCUGGUGUAGCGGUGAAAUGCGUAGAGAUCAGGAAGAACACCAGUGGCGAAGGCGCUCUGCUGGACCAUAACUGACACUCAGGGACGAAAGCUAGGGGAGCGAAUGGG
rnacentral:rRNA from 1 species